rfam:Sorex araneus cont1.041411, whole genome shotgun sequence.
UUCCUUUCAUCGUCAUCCCCGCGGCCUCGGGCCGCUAAUGCAAGAGGCCAAAAAAUGUUUUGGAGGAAGAAAAACAAAGGCAGGAAGUGGCGGCGGCCUGGCGGUGCGUGUGUGUCUGCGGAGAAGGGAGGGGGCCUUUUUUUUUUCAUCUCUUCCAGUUGUUUCCCCAAAUUUCAGGGUCUAUGCAG